rnacentral:lncRNA from 1 species
CGGGGAGACGCUUUCUCCAACAUUUCAGUACAGGUGGCGCCUUGGAUUUUCCCCGCUACCGAGCAAGCAAGCUCCGAGAGCUGACACCGUCAUCCUUGGUAACAUCCAAAUGACACCUGAUGCGGAUGGGGCCGCGGUCAGGACAGGAAGGAGCGGGGAGCCCCUGGGCUGUGUGACACCCUCCCGAGGACGGUGACAGACCAACAGUGGCUGAAUGUGGGCCUCUGGGCCUUCCUGGCACCAUCAGACGUGGAGUGCAGCACAUAGUGGGGUCGCAGGUGGGUUGUCCUAACCAGGCUGGCCACACGGUCCAGUCUACUGUGCCGGGAGCAGGGCGCCUCUGGCUGCUGGGGAGACAGUGCAGACCCUAGAGUCAAGCUCCCCAGAAGCUGG